rnacentral:rRNA from 1 species
GUCUUUUUGAUUAUAAUUUAAAGUCUAACCUGCCCAAUGAGUGUUUGAAUGGCCGCGGUAAUUUGACCGUGCAAAGGUAGCAUAAUCAUUAGUUUUUUAAUUGAAAGCUGGUAUGAAUGGUUGGACGAGAGAGUAGCUGUCUCAAUUUAAUUGUAAGUAGAACUUUAUCUUUGAGUUAGAAAGCUCAAAUCAAUUUAAAAGACGAGAAGACCCUAUAGAAUUUUACAUUGCUAUAAUUAAUGAGUUUUUGGUAUGUUUAGGUUUUUAUUUUGUGCAAUGUUUUGUUGGGGUGACAGGAAAAUAUAAUGAACUUUUUUUUUAUUGGUACAUUGAUAUAUGAGUGAUUGAUCCAUUGUUUAUGAUUAUAAGAUUAAAUUACCUUAGGGAUAACAGCGUAAUUUUUCUUGAGAGUUCUAAUCGAAAGAAGAGUUUGCGACCUCGAUGUUGGAUUAAAAUUAACUUUAGGUGCAGGAGCUUGAAGGUUAGGUCUGUUCGACCUUUAAAAUUUUACAUGAUCUGAGU